AUGCCACUGCCUGGGCCCCGGGGCCAUGGGUUAGGCUGGGCCUCUCCUGCAGGGGGUGUUCUGGUCGAGGCCCUGAAUCACAGGGAGAGGAGAAAGAAGGGAAUAUUUAGAGGGUCUUUGUGGAAAAUAUGCAGAGACAGAAGCAGAGCCAUACAAAAUAAGGGAGGGACACUAGAAGCUGUAGUCACGUGGGCAGCAGAGGGCAACUGCCACCGGAAACCUGGGUGUGUUAGGGAAACCUGGUCCUGUGAGGUGAGGGUGGCAAGCAGGGAAGGCAAGGUGGUGUCUCCUCAGUCCUUACAGCAAGAAGGCAGUGUUUCAGCAGAAGUAGACGUAUCUAGAAGGUCACCUGGCUACAUGGCUGAGGCAUGGUGCUGCAGUGCCAGAAACAAUCCUGUCAGUGAACACUAACAAGUCUUAAUGAGAAAUGAGGAAACAUAAAGCACAAAGGAGGCCCUUGCUUUGGUAAGUCUAGUAACACUUCAGUAUGCUUCAAAAGUCUGAAUGGUUUGUUAUCUGUCUGUACCUCUUUGCAAGAGGUAUUUUUAGCCAUGUCUGUGAUGGUUCUUAAUGAACUGUUUAGCAUGCUCUUAAGAUCCAGAAAGUACAUUAAUGUGUUCAAAACUAUCUUUUGGUCCUGCUGGCAAAUUAGUCCCCAGUUGGCUGUGGUCCAACAGCCGUUCGAGAAAUUCAAGGCUUCAGCUGCACACCUGAUGGCAAUAUGGGGAGACAGAAACAAAGUCUCCUGCUCCAGGUGGAGUGAGUUUGCAAAAGGACUUAAAAAGGAAGGCAUGGGCACAACAAUGCUUGGACAACUUCUUUGAGGAUAUGGGUGAGAGUGCUGAUUUAAGGCUUACCCUGUCUUGUCAUUAAGUGUUAGUAGAGAGACAAAGACUGCAGCUCCAAAUGGAGUGGGGCUGAAGAGGGGUGCCAGAGGAAGAGGUGGACAGCCCCAAGAAUUCUAUCCUGGCAGCUUCUUCCUCUGGGCCACAUCUGGUAGUUUCAGUAUAAAACUUUGCCUAUGCCUAGGCUUAGGUUUAGAUUUAUUUUUUGGGGAAGAGAAAAACUAGGAUCUCAACAUGCAGUGGAACUGAAAAAGUGUUUUUGGAGGAAAGAGUUGAUACUUAAGCCACAGCCCAGAAGCUGUUGAUUGGAACCAUUCUGGAUGUAGUCCAGUCUAUCCUUUAGCAUUUGCUUUACAGCUCCGCCCCACCUGCAGCUCUCAGUUUGUCCCUCAGCUAAUGCUAACCCUAACCCUUAGGAUGAGCUGAGGCUUAGUCUGAAGUCUAAAUCCCUUAUCUAGAGGAAGAAGUUAUCAGAAUGCCUUCUUGGUACAGUCUGUCCUUCUUCUGUUUGUCCCCCUCAUCUCACUGUACCUGGAACUCUAGGCUUUGCCUCACUCCUAGUCUUAAUCCUAAUCUUAACCUAAGUGUUAGGGUAGGCUGAAAUUUAGCCUGAGAUCCCUUUUCAUAUUUGUGAGGAAGCAGCUGUCCUGAGAGAAGUUUUAGUGUAGCCUGUUGUUGCUUUUUUUGGACCCACUCUACCUAGAGCUGUAGGCUUUGUCUCUCUGUUACUUAUAACCCUCGUGCUCCCUAGAUAGUUUUUAUGGCUUUCAGGAAAUAGACUUACUCAUCUUUUCUAAAUGUUAUCUUGAUUUUAUUCAGCAUUUUUCCAUUACGUUUCUUUGUUCUUUUCCUCAGAUAGGGAUCAAGUGUAAUAGUUGCCUAAGAAUCUACAUCUGUUCUGCAGUCUUACUCCUUAUUGUGGUUUCCCAUUUUCUCAACAUCUACUAUAUAAUGCAUUCUCUGGAUGGAUAUCACCUUUUUGCAGUGAUGUUUUCAUCUUAUUCUUUAUUGUUGUCCUUUAAUCAAGCAUACAUGCAAGUGUGGCCAUGAAUACCACUCUAUUUGGUUAAAGUGAAAUGGCUUUCAGAGCUAUUUUUGUUUUCUUUAUGCUCCUCCAUAUAAUCCCACAGAUGUCUUAUGUAAUUACAUGUCAUACUUCAUGUUUUCCUACCCUGCUUAGCCACUUUAGUCACAUCUUGUUCUUGAGCAUUGUACUUCCAGGAACUUUAGUCCAGACUGGGUAAGAUCUGAAAUAUUGUAUAUCAAGUUGCAUGUUAAUAUAAAGAAGUAAAAACUUGUCAUAAAUACCAAUGUCCUUUGAUAUAAAGUCAGAUUUCUCACAAAGAAAAUGACAGAUUAUUUGCAAGCAUCUUGGGCACAGGCCUGGGACAGGUGGUGUCUGAUUGUGUUUGUCAGUCUGAUUGUGUUUGUUCUAGUGAUAGGACUAGAAGGAAUGGCCUCAAGUUGUGCCAGGAGAGAUUUAGGUUGGAAAUUCUGAGACAUCUUUUCUCAGAAAGAGCAGUCAGGCAUUGGAACGGGUUGCCCAGAGAGGUGAUGGAGUCACUAUCCCUGGGGGUGUUUACAGAAAGGUUGGACUUGGUCCUUAGGGACAUGGCUUAAUGGAUAACAUUGGUAGUAGGGGGAUGGUUGGACCAGAUGAUCUUGGAGGUCUUUUCCAACCCUAAUGGUUCUGUGAUUCUGUGGCAUGACUUUAAUGCAGCCCUGUCCUCCACCAAUAGUGUGGGUCUGUUUCUCUGUGAGUUGCUUAUGAUUAUUUUUAAACAACAAUUGUAUAUUGAAUACAUUAAAUUUGUCAUAUUUUUAAAAGCCCAAAAGACAAAUUUGUCAGCAAAUUACUGUGAGGGGUGAUGGAAGGGGAAGCGUGUUACUAGAACAGUGAGUGUCACUUGUGGUGUCAAUGGGCUUAAUACACAUGUAAAAAUACUUUAGCAUUCUGACUACAUUCAUCAGUAUUUAAUCCCCAGGCAAGUUAAUCCCUGGGAUCUUAAAUUUGGGUUUGCUUGUGAAGACAUGGAUUUGAUAUAUUUCACUAGGGUUUCUUAAAGCCUUAUUGCUCAAAUUAAAGGGUUUGUGUGAUUAACUGACUGACCUUCCAUUUUACUAAAGAAAUUUCUUUUUUUUUAAGAAGAAAAUUUUGAAUUCUUGAACUUUAGAGGUCAUGAGAGCAGAAGAUACAUUAAAUAGAUCUUCAUUAAUUGUAUUUUACUCUGUAAAAUCUAGUAAUUGAUAAAUUAUUCUGGUAGCUGCCUUCUUAUUUGCAAAUUCAGAGGUAGCAAUACUUUAAGAAUACAGCAACAUAAAAGCUUUUUUUUUUUUUCCACAAACAUAUUCCUUUAAUUCUUUGGGCUAAAAAUCUCUUAAUACAGUCCUUAUAUGCUUUUACCAUAAUUAUUGAAGUUCAGAGACAGUUCUUCACAUUUAGUACUGUGGCCCCAGAAUCUGUCUUGAUGGUAAGGAUUUCCUUAUUACUUGCAGGUGCCAUUAUAGUAUGAAUUCAGUUUUCUUCUAAUUCUGGCUUUGGUCCAGAGACAAUAAAUGAUGAAGCUCUUCUCUCUCUGAAAAGCA
ensembl:lncRNA